AUUGAACGCUGGCGGCAGGCCUAACACAUGCAAGUCGAACGAGUCUCGGACUGGUGAUUAAUGUCUUGGAACCUGCCCUAUGGCGUGGGAUAACUACUGUACACCGUAUCUAAUCCCGCCUUCCAUCUCUUGUUCCCAGAUGGGAUUAGCUAGUAGGUGGGGUAACGGCUCACCUAGGCGACUAUCCCUAGCUGGUCUGAGAGGAUGACAAGCCACACUGGGACUGAGACACGGUCCAGCCUCCUACGGGAGACAGCAGUGGGGAAUAUUGCACAAUGGGCGCAAGCCUGAUGCAGCCAUUCCGCGUGUAUGAAGAAGGCCUUCGGGUUGUAAAGUACUUUCAGCGAGGAGGCGUUAGUCGAAGAAGAAGCACCGGCUAACUCCGUGCCAGCAGCCGCGGUAAUUA
rnacentral:rRNA from 1 species